ensembl:lncRNA
UGUGUUUUUAAUGGUUUUCUUUGAGACUGCGGUUCCAGGUCCGGCCGUGUAGUUCUGGGCUGAUCCCUCACCCUCUUGAUCAUGAUCAUUGAUGCCCCACGAGCUCUCUGGUCUUGGCCAUUGUGGAGAGGUUGGAGUCUGAGUGUGUGGACAGGUGUCUUUUAGACAGGUAAGUUCAAACAUGUGCAAUUAAUACAGGUAAUGAGUGGAGAACAGAAGGCCUUCUUAAAAGGAAAAACUACCAGGUCUGUGAGAGCUGGAAUUCUUACUGUGUGAGGGGAAUUUUCUAUAAACUGCAUAUAAAAUCACACGUUUUAUGAAUAUUUAAAUAUGCAUGCAUAAUCAUGCGUUUUAGGGGAAUAUAUUAACAAGUUAUCCAAAAACCCUUAGUUCUUAGAUGAUUCAGCGCGCGUGCGCACACACAGACAGAAAGGCUGCAGAAAACAUAUGGCCUUGAGAUUGGGGCAAUUGGUCUUGACGCUCCAUAGGGGUUUAUCAGUAAUAGUGCAAUUCAGCAUAACGGCAUCCAGGAAGGGUUAUCCAAUCCCUGUACGUCCAAAGUGAGAGCUGCGUUCGGGUUCUCGGUAGUAAGUCGGAAUCGUUCCAGGUGGGGUUUGGCCUCUGCCAGGUCUGCACUUUGUCACCAAUCCGGUUUGUAACUUUUAUGGACAGGAUAUCAAGGCGUAGUCGGGGUGGGGAUGGGUUGCAGUUCGGUGGGCUGGGGAUCUCAUCGCUGCUUUUUGCGGAUGAUGUGGUCCUGAAGGCAUCAUUGGUCCGUUUCCUCCUUUGUGAUGCUUUGCCAGGCCUUUCCUGGAGCUGUCUUCAGGUGUUUGUUCUUGGAACUUUCUGCCUUAAGUUUUGUCUUCAGCAAGUGCAAUGCAUGGUGGAUCAGGUUGCGAUCAUUGAUUUUGCCAUUGCAGAAUAUUCAACUUGUUUGCCUUAAAAAAAACUCCUGGGUUGUUUUUGCAGAAUGUUUUGGAUCAUUGUCCAUCUGUAAAGUGAAGCACUGUCCAAUCAACUUUGCUGAAUUUGGCUGAAUCUGAGCAGACAAUAUAUCCCUAUACACUUCCGAAUUCAUCCAGCUGCUUCUGUCUUUUGUCACAUCAAAAACACUAUUUGAACCGUGCCAUUGGAAGCCAUGCAUGCCCAUGCCAUCACACUGCCUCCACCGAGUUUUACAGAUGUGGUAUGCUUUGAAUCAUGAACCGUUCCAAGCCUUCUCCAUACACUGAUGCCCUUAUGCUUGAACAUGAUGUUCGUUAUGGA